AGAGUUUGAUCCUGGCUCAGGACGAACGCUGGCGGCGUGCCUAAUACAUGCAAGUCGAGCGAACAGAGAAGGAGCUUGCUCCUUUGACGUUAGCGGCGGACGGGUGAGUAACACGUGGGCAACCUACCCUAUAGUUUGGGAUAACUCCGGGAAACCGGGGCUAAUACCGAAUAAUCUGUUGUCCCUCAUGGGACAAUACUGAAAGACGGUUUCGGCUGUCGCUAUAGGAUGGGCCCGCGGCGCAUUAGCUAGUUGGUGAGGUAACGGCUCACCAAGGCGACGAUGCGUAGCCGACCUGAGAGGGUGAUCGGCCACACUGGGACUGAGACACGGCCCAGACUCCUACGGGAGGCAGCAGUAGGGAACCUUCCACAAUGGGCGAAAGCCUGAUGGAGCAACGCCGCGUGAGUGAAGAAGGAUUUCGGUUCGUAAAACUCUGUUGUAAGGGAAGAACAAGUACAGUAGUAACUGGCUGUACCUUGACGGUACCUUAUUAGAAAGCCACGGCUAACUACGUGCCAGCAGCCGCGGUAAUACGUAGGUGGCAAGCGUUGUCCGGAAUUAUUGGGCGUAAAGCGCGCGCAGGUGGUUUCUUAAGUCUGAUGUGAAAGCCCACGGCUCAACCGUGGAGGGUCAUUGGAAACUGGGAGACUUGAGUGCAGAAGAGGAUAGUGGAAUUCCAAGCGUAGCGGUGAAAUGCGCAGAGAUUUGGAUACCCUGGUAGUCCACGCCGUAAACGAUGAGUGCUAAGUGUUAGGGGGUUUCCGCCCCUUAGUGCUGCAGCUAACGCAUUAAGCACUCCGCCUGGGAGUACGGUCGCAAGACUGAAACUCAAAGGAAUUGACGGGGGCCCGCACAAGCGGUGGAGCAUGUGGUUUAAUUCGAAGCGACGCGAAGAACCUUACCAGGUCUUGACAUCCCGUUGACCACUGUAGAGAUAUAGUUUCCCCUUCGGGGGCAACGGUGACAGGUGGUGCAUGGUUGUCGUCAGCUCGUGUCGUGAGAUGUUGGGUUAAGCCCCGCAACGAGCGCAACCCUUGAUCUUAGUUGCCAUCAUUUAGUUGGGCACUCUAAGGUGACUGCCGGUGACAAACCGGAGGAAGGUGGGGAUGGCGUCAAAUCAUCAUGCCCCUUAUGACCUGGGCUACACACGUGCUACAAUGGACGAUACAAACGGUUGCCAACUCGCGAGAGGGAGCUAAUCCGAUAAAGUCGUUCUCAGUUCGGAUUGUAGGCUGCAACUCGCCUACAUGAAGCCGGAAUCGCUAGUAAUCGCGGAUCAGCAUGCCGCGGUGAAUACGUUCCCGGGCCUUGUACACACCGCCCGUCACACCACGAGAGUUUGUAACACCCGAAGUCGGUGAGGUAACCUUUUGGAGCCAGCCGCCGAAGGUGGGAUAGAUGAUUGGGGUGAAGUCGUAACAAGGUAACC
rnacentral:rRNA from 1 species